rnacentral:rRNA from 1 species
UACGGGGGGGGGCAAGCGUUGUUCGGAAUUACUGGGCGUAAAGGGCUCGUAGGCGGCCAACUAAGUCCGACGUGAAAUCCCCAGGCUUAACCUGGGAACUGCGUCGGAUACUGGAUGGCUUGAAUCCGGGAGAGGGAUGCGGAAUUCCAGGUGUAGCGGUGAAAUGCGUAGAAUAUCUGGAGGAACACCGGUGGCGAAGGCGGCAUCC